rnacentral:rRNA from 1 species
GGAYGAAGUCUGACGGAGCAACGCCGCGUGAGUGAUGAAGGUUUUCGGAUCGUAAAACUCUGUUGUUAGGGAAGAACAAGUACCGUUCGAAUAGGGCGGYACCUUGACGGUACCUAACCAGAAAGCCACGGCUAACUACGUGCCAGCAGCCGCGGUAAUACGUAGGUGGCAAGCGUUGUCCGGAAUUAUUGGGCGUAAAGCGCGCGCAGGCGGUUUCUUAAGUCUGAUGUGAAAGCCCCCGGCUCAACCGGGGAGGGUCAUUGGAAACUGGGGAACUUGAGUGCAGAAGAGGAGAGUGGAAUUCCACGUGUAGCGGUGAAAUGCGUAGAGAUGUGGAGGAACACCAGUGGCGAAGGCGACUCUCUGGUCUGUAACUGACGCUGAGGCGCGAAAGCGUGGGGAGCGAACAGGAUUAGAUACCCUGGUAGUCCACGCCGUAAACGAUGAGUGCUAAGUGUUAGAGGGUUUCCGCCCUUUAGUGCUGCAGCAAACGCAUUAAGCACUCCGCCUGGGGAGUACGGUCGCAAGACUGAAACUCAAAGGAAUUGACGGGGGCCCGCACAAGCGGUGGAGCAUGUGGUUUAAUUCGAAGCAACGCGAAGAACCUUACCAGGUCUUGACAUCCUCUGACAACCCUAGAGAUAGGGCUUCCCCUUCGGGGGCAGAGUGACAGGUGGUGCAUGGUUGUCGUCAGC